AGUGAACGCUGGCGGUAGGCCUAACACAUGCAAGUCGAACGGCAGCACAGUAAGAGCUUGCUCUUACGGGUGGCGAGUGGCGGACGGGUGAGGAAUACAUCGGAAUCUACUUUUUCGUGGGGGAUAACGUAGGGAAACUUACGCUAAUACCGCAUACGACCUACGGGUGAAAGCAGGGGAUCUUCGGACCUUGCGCGAUUGAAUGAGCCGAUGUCGGAUUAGCUAGUUGGCGGGGUAAAGGCCCACCAAGGCGACGAUCCGUAGCUGGUCUGAGAGGAUGAUCAGCCACACUGGAACUGAGACACGGUCCAGACUGCUACGGGAGGCAGCAGUGGGGAAUAUUGGACAAUGGGCGCAAGCCUGAUCCAGCCAUACCGCGUGGGUGAAGAAGGCCUUCGGGUUGUAAAGCCCUUUUGUUGGGAAAGAAAAGCAGCAGGUUAAUACCCCGCUGUUCUGACGGUACCCAAAGAAUAAGCACCGGCUAACUUCGUG
rnacentral:rRNA from 1 species